UCGGAUCGUAAAGCUCUGUUGUUAGGGAAGAACAAGUACCGUUCGAAGAGGGCGGUACCGUGACGGUACCUAACGAGAAAGCCACGGCUAACUACGUGCCAGCAGCCGCGGUAAUACGUAGGUGGCAAGCGUUAUCCGGAAUUAUUGGGCGUAAAGCGCGCGUAGGCGGUUUUUUAAGUCUGAUGUGAAAGCCCACGGCUCAACCGUGGAGGGUCAUUGGAAACUGGAAAACUUGAGUGCAGAAGAGGAAAGUGGAAUUCCAUGUGUAGCGGUGAAAUGCGCAGAGAUAUGGAGGAACACCAGUGGCGAAGGCGACUUUCUGGUCUGUAACUGACGCUGAUGUGCGAAAGCGUGGGGAUCAAACAGGAUUAGAUACCCUGGUAGUCCACGCCGUA
rnacentral:rRNA from 14 species